rnacentral:rRNA from 1 species
GACGAACGCUGGCGGCGUGCCUAAUACAUGCAAGUCGAACGAGAGCAACCGGUGCUUGCACUGGUCAAUCUAGUGGCGAACGGGUGAGUAACACGUGGGUAACCUGCCCAUCAGAGGGGGAUAACAUCCGGAAACGGAUGCUAAAACCGCAUAGGUCUUCGAACCGCAUGGUUUGAAGAGGAAAAGAGGCGCAAGCUUCUGCUGAUGGAUGGACCCGCGGUGCAUUAGCUAGUUGGUGAGGUAACGGCUCACCAAGGCCGUGAUGCAUAGCCGACCUGAGAGGGUGAUCGGCCACAUUGGGACUGAGACACGGCCCAAACUCCUACGGGAGGCAGCAGUAGGGAAUCUUCCGCAAUGGACGCAAGUCUGACGGAGCAACGCCGCGUGAGUGAAGAAGGUUUUCGGAUCGUAAAACUCUGAUGUUAGAGAAGAACAAGUGCUAGAGUAACUGUUAGCGCCUUGACGGUAUCUAACCAGAAAGCCACGGCUAACUACGUG